UAAAUACUUCCUCCGUCCCAAAAUAAGUGUCUCAAACUUAGUGUAAAUUUGUACUAAAGUUAGUACAAAGUUGAGACACUUAUUUUGGAACGGAGGGAGUAUCAU
rnacentral:pre_miRNA from 1 species